ensembl:snoRNA ZK185.9 ncRNA
GUGGUCCGGAUUAGGCGUGCGAUCCGCGGUUUCCCGGUGUUGUGGACCUCCAAGUCGGUUACACAAGUCCCAUAAAUCGGUGUACAACGAAUAAGUGCCUUCAAACUCCGGUAGAGCAUUGUCCAAUGCUAGCUGCGCCAGUUCAAUUCGGUUCCGAGACCCCCUUUCCCCAACCCGUGUAGCGUAGACGCCGCCGAGUUCUUGACCACACUUUU